CUGAAUGUAGCUUAUGCUAAGCGAUCUUUACAUUUAAAUAGAACAAAACAAUUGAAACUACUAGUGCGUUUCAUAAUGUUUGUGUUGUUCUUCAGUUCAGUGUUUUAGGUACAGGUUCUUUGCUCAGACUGUUCUUGCACAUCAAUUAUUUAGGCUAAGCUUGCUCCUAGACUCAUCCCAUCAAUUUCUAUUUCAUGGAGUUGAUGAACAAUUGGUGCAUUGCUGCUAGAGCGCCAUUACAGUCUAGGCUACUUUUCCCAUGUUUUGGAUCACUUUCCAUUUAAUGUAUCUAUUGCUUAUUAUUUUUUUAAAUACGUAAUACUCAGUGUAUUUUUUGUAAAUGUAUGGUUUUGUUAUAAUUUGUGAAUGGUUGUGUUGGCUUGGCCAUCGGGGUGCAAGAGGGGAGGGGUAGAGCGCUUGGGGAGAAGUUGAAAGCGCCAACUAAGCCAUUACAUAAAGUGGGGGUUCAGCAACAUAAAGCCGCAUUGUUGACGCUCGGAUCUUAUAGCCUACUGCUCGAUUUUGCAUAUUUACUUGGACUAUGGCUGCGAGCUCUCAUCUGAAGAUGUUGGAGUACAGUUCAUCACCAAGGAAUCGAUUUUACAUGAUCAAAGUGACUUCGAAUAUGAUUAUGAGACACUUCGAACUACAGGGGUCAUCAUUGGUGUGAUCUUGUUUGUGUCGGGUAUCCUAAUAGCUCUUAGU